rnacentral:lncRNA from 1 species
AAGGUUUAGUCGAAGAUUGAAAAUAGAAGAAACAAGUGUUAAAAACUACGAUCGUUAUGAAAUGUUGUUCAAUUUAAAAGUUGCUGUAUUACAGUUGACUUUGUGCACAUGGAGGUGUCCAUGGGUCAUCCGUCAACAAUUUACAAUUUCACCAAAACAUGUUAAACAUGUUGCAUAUAUCCCGAAGAGAUUGUACUGUUGGAUGUAGUUUUAAUUAUAUAUGUAUAUACAUGCGCAUGAAGGUAACUAGAAAAAAAAACACACAAUGUAUGUCAGCUGUUCAAUAUAUGAAUCCAACAAGGUCUUGUCAACUGUCUGAUUUUGCCCCAUGAGAAUGAAACAAAUACGCAGGAUACUGAUUAUAUAUUUUAUUACUCUAUUGUUGACAUAUUUCUUGCAGAGGUACAUAAGCUUACGAAAAAAACAUUAGUGAUAACGCG